CAGUCGCCGCGGGAAUACGAAGGGGGCUAGCGUUGUUCGGAUUUACUGGGCGUAAAGGGUGCGUAGGCGGAUUGUUAAGUCAGGGGUGAAAUGCCGAGGCUCAACCUCGGAACUGCCUUUGAUACUGGCGAUCUUGAGUCCGGGAGAGGUGGGUGGAACUGCGAGUGUAGAGGUGAAAUUCGUAGAUAUUCGCAAGAACACCGGUGGCGAAGGCGGCCCACUGGCCCGGAACUGACGCUGAGGCACGACAGCGUGGGGAGCAAACAGGAUUAGAUACCCCUGUAGUCCCUGUCUCUUAUAC
rnacentral:rRNA from 1 species